rnacentral:rRNA from 1 species
CGAGGCGGAGGGGGCAACCCCUCCAGUCGAGUGGCGGACGGGUGAGUAACACGUGGGUAACCUGCCCGGAAGUGGGGAACACCUCGGGGAAACUCGAGCUAAUACCGCAUGACAUCUUCGGGACGAAAGUCCUGUCGAUCAAAGCGGGGUCGCAAGGCCUCGCGCUACCGGAUGGGCCCGCGCCCGAUUAGCUAGUUGGCGAGGUAAUGGCUCACCAAGGCUUCGAUCGGUAACCGGCCUGAGAGGGCGAUCGGUCACACCGGAACUGAGACACGGUCCGGACUCCUACGGGAGGCAGCAGUGGGGAAUCUUGCGCAAUGGGCGAAAGCCUGACGCAGCAACGCCGCGUGGAGGAUGAAGGCCCUUGGGUUGUAAACUCCUGUCGGCUGGGAAGAAAUCGGCGGGUGCGAAUACCACCCGCCGUUGACUGUACCAGCAAAGGAAGCCCCGGCUAACUCUGUGCCAGCAGCCGCGGUAAUACAGAGGGGGCCAGCGUUAUUCGGAAUUAUUGGGCGUAAAGGGCGCGUAGGCGGCCUCGCGUGUCUUCCGUGAAAUCCCUCGGCUCAACUGAGGACGUGCGGAAGAAACUGCGAGGCUCGAGUCCGGGAGAGGGGGGUGGAAUUCCCAGUGUAGCGGUGAAAUGCGUAGAUAUUGGGAGGAACACCGGUGGCGAAGGCGGCCCCCUGGACCGGUACUGACGCUGAGGCGCGAAAGCGUGGGGAGCAAACGGGAUUAGAUACCCCGGUAGUCCACGCCGUAAACGAUGGGCACUUGGUGUCGCGGGUAUCGA